rnacentral:rRNA from 1 species
CAGUCGAGCGGAGUUGACGGAAACCUUGCUUUCCUGAUACUUAGCGGCGGAGGGGUGAGUAACACGUAGGCAACCUGCCCUCAAGCUUGGGACAACUACCGGAAACGGUAGCUAAUACCGAAUACUUGUUUUCUUCGCCUGAAGGGAACUGGAAGGACGGAGCAAUCUGUCACUUGAGGAUGGGCCUGCGGCGCAUUAGCUAGUUGGUGAGGUAACGGCUCACCAAGGCGACGAUGCGUAGCCGACCUGAGAGGGUGAUCGGCCACACUGGGACUGAGACACGGCCCAGACUCCUACGGGAGGCAGCAGUAGGGAAUCUUCCGCAAUGGGCGAAAGCCUGACGGAGCAAUGCCGCGUGAGUGAUGAAGGUUUUCGGAUCGUAAAGCUCUGUUGCCAGGGAAGAACGCUUGGGAGAGUAACUGCUCCCAAGGUGACGGUACCUGACAAGAAAGCCCCGGCUAACUACGUGCCAGCAGCCGCGGUAAUACGUAGGGGGCAAGCGUUGUCCGGAAUUAUUGGGCGUAAAGCGCGCGCAGGCGGUCAUGUAAGUCUGAUGUUUAAUCCCGGGGCUCAACCCCGGAUCGCACUGGAAACUGCGUGACUUGAGUGCAGAAGAGGAGAGUGGAAUUCCACGUGUAGCGGUGAAAUGCGUAGAGAUGUGGAGGAACACCAGUGGCGAAGGCGACUCUCUGGGCUGUAACU